GGUUUAUACUUUUCAUAUUCCUCAAUCACUGAUGGACUGUGGACAGAUGGAGCCAGCGGUAAGAAGUAGAGAAAGCUGUAAUUGUCACUGAGCUCUGAGUAGCUGAAGGCCGGCUGGGAUUGCUGUCAAGUAUCCAACUUUAUCCUGUCAGGCAGAGGAUUUGUUGGCAGAGGGUGGGCCAGGCCUGACGGGUCUUUAGUCCACAGCCAGAGACAUCCCUUGAAAUCUAGGAUCUAAAGCCCUGGGAUUGACUGCACCUCAAAGUGCACUGGCAUUUCUAAGAAGCUGAGACCUUUAAUGCUGAAAUGUUGUGGUAUGAAAACACAUCAAAGCUACUGGAAUGUGGAGUGGACUCAUAUGCAGAGGCGUUGGUGUAAAACAAGUAACUGAUGGAAAAGGAUUCAAGUCCUACAAGUCCAACCACAGCUAUAUUGGCCGAAAAUACAAUCUGCCAUGGUAGCAUCACUGUUAAUGAAUCUUCAGGGCAAAAGAUGCAAGGACUUCUGAUUUCUGGCCCUCCACAUGUUACUACACUACCUUUCCAGCCAGCUGCCAUAACUAAACUAAAGUGAGACCAAUAGUGAGAGAUGCUGAUAGGUGUAAUUCAGCAAUAUCUAGAGGGCCAAUUUCAUUUUAUUCAAAGCAUUCCAUAAGACUUAAGACAAUUUCAAACCCCCUUCUAGAUGUCUAUUGAAGUUACAGCUUCCAGAAUCUCAGUAAGCAUCCCUAAGAACUAUUUAGAAAAUUAGUAUGGCUAGAAAAUAGCCAUACAAAUUACUACUCAUCUGUAGCAAAUAAAGUAUCUCUGUGACAAGGCAAGCUAGUUUUUACAACUGGAGAAACAUGUUUUACUUCUCUGUACUCCUAGUUCCAGGCCUUUGAAAGGCUCUUUUAUGCUUAAAACAAUAUGUGAUCAUUUUAUUUCAUGGUAAUUCCGUGUAACUUAUUGCCUUGCCAUCCAGUCUUUGAUCUUGCAUUUGAUUCUAAUGCAGUAAUACAGAUUUAUUUAUUUA